rnacentral:pre_miRNA from 1 species
GAAUUAGAGGUCUGAUCCAGAGUCCAGUGACGUCAAUAGAAAUCUUUCCAAUGACUUCAAUGGGCUUUUGAUCAGGCCUUAAAUC